GAUGAACGCUAGCGGCAGGCCUAAUACAUGCAAGUCGGACGGGAUCUAUCGGAGAGCUUGCUCGAAGAUAGUGAGAGUGGCGCACGGGUGCGUAACGCGUGAGCAACCUACCCAUAUCAGGGGGAUAGCCCGGAGAAAUCCGGAUUAAGACCGCAUAACACUGUGAUUUGGCAUCAUGUUACAGUUAAAUAUUUAUAGGAUAUGGAUGGGCUCGCGUGACAUUAGCUAGUUGGUGAGGUAACGGCUCACCAAGGCGACGAUGUCUAGGGGCUCUGGGAGGAGAAUCCCCCACACUGGUACCGAGACACGGACCAGACUCCUACGGGAGGCAGCAGUAAGGAAUAUUGGUCAAUGGGCGGAAGCCUGAACCAGCCAUGCCGCGUGCAGGACGACUGCCCUAUGGGUUGUAAACUGCUUUUGUCGAGGAAUAAACCUAUCUACGUGUAGAUAGCUGAACGUACUCGAAGAAUAAGGAUCGGCUAACUCCGUGCCAGCCGCCGCAGUAA
rnacentral:rRNA from 1 species